GCCAGUGUGGUGCAGUGGUUAGAGCACUGGACUAUGACUCUGCAGAUCAGGGUUUGAUUCUCCACUCAGCCA